rnacentral:rRNA from 1 species
GCUCAGGAUGAACGCUAGCUACAGGCUUAACACAUGCAAGUCGAGGGGUAGCAGGGUAGCAAUACCGCUGACGACCGGCGCACGGGUGAGUAACACGUAUCCAACCUUCCCAUAACUCAGGGAUAGCCUUUCGAAAGAAAGAUUAAUACCUGAUAGUACUUAAGAAAGGCAUCUUUUUUAAGUUAAAGAUUUAUUGGUUAUGGAUGGGGAUGCGUUCCAUUAGAUAGUUGGUGAGGUAACGGCUCACCAAGUCUUCGAUGGAUAGGGGUUCUGAGAGGAAGGUCCCCCACAUUGGUACUGAGACACGGACCAAACUCCUACGGGAGGCAGCAGUGAGGAAUAUUGGUCAAUGGGCGAGAGCCUGAACCAGC